rnacentral:lncRNA from 1 species
ACAUCAUAAACCAAAACUUGGAUUAUAAUCAUAUGAAGAGAAGUAUUACACUGAUAAAGUAUAUAAUCAUAGAUAUUAUAAACCAUUAUGAACAUUAAAAUAAGCUUUAUAAAGAUAUGGAUGGCAAUGGUAAACAUAAUCUCAGAUUUAAUUUGCUCAGUGAAAAUAAAGAUGUUUCUUAAAGAUGGCUUCAAAUUCUUACUUGCACCUCCAACUAAAAUUAUUUUGCUCAUAAAUAAUCAACAAACUACAUCAUCAGAUUUGAUCUUCUUAUUGCUAGAUGCAUCAUAAUCGUUCCAGUUUCUAAUCAAUCUUCUUGUCAUAGUCAUUCCUGCACUUGCACUUACAACAGACGAAACACGUGUUCUUGGUGAUCAUAUAAGCCUUGUAAUAAAAAAUAGUAAUCAAACACGAGAAUUAACAAGAUUCACAAGUGAGAACAAAUACAAAAAGUUUUAGAGCAUAUACGUGACUUUUUUCCUAUGUCAUUUCUUCUUGUAAUCAGAAGCAAAAUACCAAGUUUAGACAAACCCUAGAAACUCCAAACACUUGAACAAACGUUAUAUUAUUUUUCCAACUAUCACAGAUAAUCAUAAUCAACAAAGCUUUAAUAAUUAUAUGAUCACAGGACAUCAUUAUUUUAAUCCUCAAUGCUCAAAAAAUUAAGAAUCACAAUCAAAUUUUGGUUAUUACCCUAAGUUGAUUGCUUAGAAUUACCAGUACUAACUUUAAAAGCAAAUCCAAACAGCCCUAAAUUGAUAAGUUUAGGGAAAAACAUGAGAGCAACAUUUUUUAGAUAAAAUCUAAAAACAUGUAUGCCAAUUUAGAAUUUUGAUUGAAAGCAAAAUUGAUGCGCAAAAACCAUAUAUAUUCAAGAAAUAAUGUCAUAGCUUUACUUCUAAUAGAAAAACAUGUAUAGAAGAAGAAAACUACUUACGAAGAGGCCAGUGAGGAGUGGUGGUCUCAAAGAAACGCAUCUAAUUCCAAAUGUAGAACCUGCAAAAAGAACCAUCAAAAUUAAUGAUAUAGGACAGAAAUCAAGAGUUUGAAGGAUAGAAAAUAUAAGGUACUUGCAAUGAUAAGCCUUCCACCAGUAGAUGACAACUGCAACUCAUAUUCUGAUCUAUUACCAAAAGGGCAUUUAUGUCUUUUUGCAUAGUAAUGAAGUAAUAUAAAGUAAUGAGUACUGACCUUGACUUGCUUAAUGAAAGAAACAACAUUCAACAUUCCACUUCUUGAUAAUCAGACCAAAUUAAAGCGUUAUAAGAAGAGAUUUAGGGAUUUAAAACAUAAUAGGAAGAUAUAAAUCAUAAUUAGAAGAGAUAUAUCUCUACAUCUAUAGUAUUGACACUUCCCUUAUGCAUGAUUUAGAUCUUUAGCAAGCUCAUAUGAAUCAAUACCAAUCGAAUGUAGUGAUUGCAUGUAAUCAAACCUGAAAAAAAAAUGAAAUUCCUCAACAUUUUUAUAUCCCCUUCUUAAUUACAAUUGAGAACAAAUUUGUGGAAAUACUUAUCAAAAAUAUCAUAUUUAAACAUGGAGGAUGAAAUAGCAAUCACCUUGAACAUGAAUGGAAGAUCAACUCCUAACUUAUCAACAAGAGUAUCGCCUAAUCAGCAAUCUCAAAUGAAACAUGUUUAGGGCUUACCUUUACACUCGAUUAUAGGCUUCUAAGCUCUUGUACCGUUGAGAUGAAGACCCAAAAAAAACCGAGAAAACACCAAUGGGGAUAUGGGGCUAUUUCGUGAGAAACUCUCCGAAAAAUGUUAUGAUAGGAGACGGAAGGAGCCUAAUGGAAACGAUCCUGGAAUUCUUAAUUCCAUCUCAACUGGAUUCGUGAUCUGACUUGGCACCUUAUCCAGAUCGACGGUUCUAUAUUGUUUUCUCCACAAAAUCGUCAGUACCUUGAUUAUGAAGAGAAGUUGUUCAUACUAUUUUCAAGCAGUCAAUAGAGGAUGAACAGGGGUCAGGGGAAACACGAUCGAUGAUAUAGGCUAAGGCGCGAUGUGGAGGAGCCAGGGUGGAGGGACGGAUAGGCAACGAGAUCACAUGAGAGAAAAACUAAAGAACGAACCCUAGUGGUUUAGAUUAUGUUGGGGGUAAUCGGAAUUUGGAAACCUAAGCGGGAUGUGAGUUGAUUUUCAAUAUUCAGGAUUGACAUCUUCGAUUGUCGAUAGCAGACGUUUGGAUCGAUGGUGCAAUGGAGAACGCGAUUGGAAUUUCCGAUAUCCCUCAUGGCCUAAGGGUUUCAACAUUGAAGAUAAUAGAUACAUUAGGUUUAGAGAGGAGGGAAUUACUAAAUCUAAAAUUUUUCAGGUAGAGGGAAUCUUAAACUUUUGGAAUGGAA